GAUGAACGCUAGCGGCAGGCCUAACACAUGCAAGUCGAGGGGUAACAGAGAGUGCUUGCACUUUGCUGACGACCGGCGCACGGGUGCGGAACGCGUAUGGAACCUACCUUUAUCAGGAGAAUAGCCCAGAGAAAUUUGGAUUAAUGCUCCAUAGAAUUGUAUUAACACAUGUUAAUUUAAUUAAAGAUUUAUCGAAUAGAGAUGGCCAUGCGUACCAUUAGUUAGUUGGUAAGGUAACGGCUUACCAAGACCGCGAUGGUUAGGGGCCCUGAGAGGGGGAUCCCCCACACUGGUACUGAGACACGGACCAG
rnacentral:rRNA from 1 species